rfam:Ovis aries breed Texel chromosome 8, whole genome shotgun sequence.
UCCUUGGUGGCUCAGCAAUAAAGAAUCUGCCUGCCAAGCAGGAGACCCAGGUUUGAUUCAUGGACCAGGAA